UGAUGACAAAUCUCCGGAAUCUCUGUAUUUUCUUGAUGAAAACCUUGAACCCUUUUCUGAUGACUGCUGUUGUU
rnacentral:snoRNA from 1 species